rnacentral:tRNA from 1 species
GCCGAAGUGGUGGAAUUGGUAGACACGCUAGCUUGAGGGGCUAGUUCCCACUAUUUUGGGAGUCGGGGUUCGAGUCCCCGCUUCGGCA